rnacentral:rRNA from 1 species
AACGAACGCUGGCGGCAGGCCUAACACAUGCAAGUCGAGCGGACAUCUUCGGAUGUUAGCGGCGGACGGGUGAGUAACGCGUGGGAACGUGCCCUUUGCUUCGGAAUAGCCUCGGGAAACUGGGAGUAAUACCGGAUGUACCCUUUGGGGGAAAGAUUUAUCGGCAAAGGAUCGGCCCGCGUUGGAUUAGGUAGUUGGUGGGGUAAUGGCCUACCAAGCCGACGAUCCAUAGCUGGUGUGAGAGGAUGAUCAGCCACACUGGGACUGAGACACGGCCCAGACUCCUACGGGAGGCAGCAGUGGGGAAUCUUAGACAAUGGGGGAAACCCUGAUCUAGCCAUGCCGCGUGAGCGAUGAAGGCCUUAGGGUUGUAAAGCUCUUUCACCGGGGAAGAUAAUGACGGUACCCGGAGAAGAAGCCCCGGCUAACUCCGUG